UCUUCAGCUUUCUGAUUUCAUAUUUGUUUAUAUCAUGUGGUUUUGUGCUGCGAUUUAGAUUGGCGAUUAGGUUUUGUGUAAUCGAUUGGAUUACUUUCUCCGUGUAGUGCGAUUUCUCUUAACCUCUCCCAAUCUGGUAUGGCGGCGAGGAUAGAUGUGUUUCUGAUCAAUCUACUGUCGAAGUUUCUGAUUUAUAAAUCUCGUUUGCUGUGAUUCCUCUUCGAUUCGUAUUAUUUGGUUAUUUUCGACGAUUGAAGGUCUAUGACUGUAAUGGUUCAAGUUUUGACGGUCUUUAUAUAUCAUAUUGGUUCUCGGGGCUCACUUUCGUUUGUUUAUGUAGUGCAAUCGAUUUGUUAGUUCGUGAUCUUUCAGAGUUAGAAGGCUAAUUUUGUCUCUCUGUCUUUGUGAAAAUUUUCCAUUUAUUCUCCAAAUUUGAUACUUAUCGGCAGUUGUUGGAAGAUUAAUUUACUCAUUGUUUCCUCUUCUCUGGCCAUGGAUGUAUAUGUGGAUGUUCAAGUGAGCAGAUCACAUUUCGUGAUUUCCGUCCAUCAGCCUUAUGCCAAAAGUAGCUGACUCCCUGACUUGGUGUGGGGCGUUUUUUCCCCAGUGUCUCCAUAAAUAAAUUGGAAUAGAUUGUUUGGUAUGCGAGUCAUCUCUGGCUAUGAUAGUGUAUAUGGAGGGUGGCGGAGGGAGUAUAGUAUGGUAUAAUUUUGGAUUUUAUCUUCUACAUAGGCAUUCCCGGUGCUUAUCGUUAUACUCUUCAAAUUUCAGUGUCUUACCAGUGGCUGUUUCUUAAUCAACCUUCAGCGGAAGCGACUCCUGGUUUGGUGCUUGGUUAUUUUUACUGGUUUCAUCAGUUUAUUUUUGUGCUGAGCCUCAACAUUUGACAAGAGAUGCAAAAUAAGUUGUGGUUCUGUUGAAGGUGGAGCUUAAGGUGGGCUAGCUUGGUCUGGCUGUUGGACAUGGACCAAUAUUGGAUAAGCACUAACUAAGUUUAUGAAGGGUGGCAGAGGGAGUAUAGUAUUUUUCUACUGUCGUUUAUCUUCUUGCUGGACAUCUCCUUUAGUUAUUGUAAUGCUCUUUAAUUUCCUGAUUUCAGAUAUUUUGGUUCUUCAGUUUCCAAGAGAAGGCAGUUCUGGGCUUUGCCAGUUUGACAGAGGGAGUGUAGUAUAGUAGUAUAGUAUGGUAUUGUUUUCACUACCUGAUACCCUCCACCUAGACUUUUCCGUCCUUGUUGUUUUUCUCUUUAAUAUCCAGUCUCUAACUCUUGGGUGGGUUCUUCAUCAGGCUUCACUGGAAGACAGCUCAUGUUUGAUGCUCGGUUAACUGUCUUUUAAUCUGUUUUUGUUUGAUGUUUAGUCAAUUUUUCUGGCUUGAUGCUUGGUAACUUAUUUAUGUGAAAUGGUUGUUUAUUUACCUAUAUGUGAAUGUUGUUUUCAGCCUUUGUUGCGGGUCGUUGAUGUGGACCAAUCUCUGAUACUUGAAAAUUUAUGGUGUUUAUGAAGGCUGGCCUUUCUCCUGCCAUUUAUCUUCUAGCUGUGCUUUCCCUUAUCUUACUAUUAUGCUCUUUCCUCCAGAUGCCUGAUCUUUGGAUUGCUCUACCAGUUUUCAGGAGAAGACUUUCUUGUUUUUUACAAGGGAGUAUAGUAUAGUGUACUUUUCUAAUAGCAUUUAUCUUCUACCUAGACUUUCCCCUGUCUAAUAUUUCCUGUGUUUAUCGUUGUACUCUUCAAUUUCCAGUAUCUGAGGGUUGGGUAGCUCUUAAUCAACCUUCACCCAAAGGCAGUUUUCAUGGGAAGGCAGUUCUUGCUGAUGCUCAACAGCUCAAGUAUCUUUACUCUGUUUUAUAAGUUUCUUUUUUUUACAUAGAAGUGUGUAAUGUUUCUGGCCUCACAGGACAAAUUUUUUUAAUUCCAUACACAUCUCUGAGUACAGUAAUUUUCUAUAACGUUUUUAUCUUCUAGCUGACUUCUCCGCUGCUUAGCUGACUUCUCUUCAAUUUCCAGAUGUAUGUUACUUGUGCGGUUCUAUCAGUAAUCAAGGGAUGGUGAUUCUCAGGUUUCAUUGUGUGGCAGUGGAACUAAGUAUAGUAUCGUACUUCUUCUGCUGCAUUUUAUCCUCUUCCUACAUACCUGUGCUUAUGGUUGUUCUCUUCAGUUUUCAUUGUAUAUUUGGGUGGGUGGUUCUUUAUCUUUGCUCUAUUUCAAUUGUUCUUCUGUUAUGUGAAUUGUGGAUAUUUUCUUCUUCACUCUUUGAUAGGAGAUGCGAAAUAAGUUUUGAUUCUGUUGACUGGAGCUUAAGGUGGGGCUACCCUUUUGGCCUGCUAUGGACCAAAAUGAGAUGAUGGCAUUAUAGUAUUUAUGGGGCUUGGCAGAGGGAGUAUCGUAUAUAUUUUGGGUUGUUCGGUCAGUUUUCAAGGGAUGCCGUUCUGUGUUUUUACAAUGGAGGGAGUAUACUACAGUUUUUUGUCUGCUACAUUUAUCUUCUACAUAGACCUUUCCAAUUCUUAUUGUUAUAAUAUUCACUUUGCAGUUUCUGUUUGUUGGCUAGUUCUUAAUCAACCUUCACCGAGCGAGUCCUGGUUUGAUGCUGGAUAAUCUUUUCUCUGAUUCAUCAGUAUUUUUUUUGUUACAUGGAUGUUGAUUUUAACUUUAUGUAGACAUUCCUGGUGCUUACCGUUGUACUCUUCCAUUCCUAGUGUCUUACCAUCGGCUGGUUCUCAAUCAACAUUUUGUGGAAGCCAGUUCUGGUUUGGUGCUUGGUUACUUUUACUCCUUUUCAUCAGUUUUAUAUUGUUACAUGGAUAUUGGGUUUGGCCUCAACAUGUGACAGGAGAUGCAGAAUAAUUUUUGGUUUUGUUGGAGGUGAAGCUGAAGGUGGGCUAUCUUGGUCUGGCUGAUGGACACAGACCAAUAUUUGAUGCUGGCGUUGACCGAGCUUAUGAAGGGUGGUAGGAAUAUAUAGUAUUUUUAUACUGUCGUUUAUCUUCGUGCUGGGCAUUUCCUUUGCUUCUUGUUAUGCUCUUCAGUUUCCUGAUGUCAGAUAUUUGGGUUGUUCAGUUUCCAAGAGAAGGCAUUCUUGGCUUGUACAUUGUGACAGGGAGUAUAGUAUAGUAUUUUUUCACUACCUCUUAUUUUCCUCCUAGACCUUCCUGUCCUUAUUGUUGUUCUCUUUGGUAUCCAGUCUCUGACCAUUAGGUGGUGGAUUCUUCAUCGGGCUUCACUGGAAGGCAGUUCUAGUUUGAAAUUUGAUGCUUGGUCAACUGCUCUCCUUAAUCUGUUAUUUUGUUUGGUGCUUUGUCGAUUUUUCUGGUUUGAUGCAUGGUUAACUUUUCUAUGUUUAAUCGGUUUGUUUACUUAGCUACAUGUGUAUAUCGAUUUCAGCCUUUGUCGUGGGUCAUUUACGUGGACCAAUCUCUGAUGUUUUCACUUAUGGUGUUUAUGAAGGGUGGUAGCUGAGCCUUCUCUUUUCUUACUUAUGCUCUUCAAUUUCCAGAUGUCUAUCUUUGGGUUGUUCUAUCAGUUUCCAGGGGAAGGUCAUUCUUUGUUCAAACUGUGUGGCAGAGGGAGUAUAGUAUAGGGAGUAUUAUUUUCUACUAUUUUCCUCGUGUUUAUUGUUACUCAUUAAUUUCCAGUAUCUGAGUGCUGGGUGUUUUAUUAUUAUCCAUCAACAGAAGCAGUUUUUGUCAGAAGGCAGUUCUUGCUUGAUGCUUUAUUAUGUUUUGUAAGUUUUUUGUUUGCUACGUAGAUGUGUAUAAUAAAGUUUUUUUCCUCACCCAGUGACGAGAUAGGACAAAAUAAUUGCUUCCAUCAUAGUAAGAGCUUAAUCGGGACUGUAUGGAGGGUAGCAGAGAGAGUACAGUAUUUUUCUGUCAUUUAUCUUCUAGCUGGACUUUUCCUUUACCUACUGUAAUGCUCUUCAAGGGAAGGCAGCUCAGGGCUUUUACAGUGCGACAGAGGGAGAUUAAUGCACCAUUUGCUUAUUACUACAUUUUAUCUUCUACCUAGACGUUCUGAUGCUUAUUGUUACACACUUUAAUUUUCAGUGUCUUGUGAGGGUGAUUUCCAAGGCUGUUCUGCUUGGAACUUUUCCGUUAGUUUUUGUUUCUUAUUGAUCUGGAUAUUGUUUUUGCCCUCACCCAUGUGACAGGAGUUCUAUCUAAGUUGGAGCGUAAGAUGAGGCUACUUGGGCUGGUUGUUGGACUUGGACCAAUCUCUGAUGGAGUAUAGUAUUUUACUCCAAUCUCUGAUUAAGUAUAGUAUUUUUCUAUUGUCAUUUAUCUUCUAGCAGGAUGGUCUUAUUGUGUUAGAAUUUCUUCUAUCUUAAACUUUUCUCAGUGCUUAUCAUUAUACCCUUUAAUUCCCAGUGUCUGAUCUUCAUUGUGUGGUUCAUUAUCAACCUUCACUGAAAGGCUGUUCUUGUUUAAUGCUCAGUUAUGUUUGUUAUGAUUAUUUUUUUCAUUAUGUAUAUGUGGAUGGUGGAUAUUGCAAGAUAAGCUUUGAUUCUUUUCAAGUAUGGUAUAGGGUUUUUCUCUACUAUAUUUCAUCUCCUAUGUAGCCAUGCAUCGUUGUACUCUUCAAUUUCCAGUUUCUGGUCAUUGGGUAAUUUUAAAUCAACCUUCACCAAGAGGCAGUUUGGUGAGUAUUUUGCCUUGUUUCGUCAGUAUUUUGUUAGUGACAUAGAUGUGGAUAUAUUGUUUUCGGCCUCUCCCUGAGACAGGAGAUACAAAAUAACUUAUGUAUCUAUCAGAGUAGGAGCUGAAUGAAGGGCUAUCUUCGUCUGCUUGUUGGGCAUGGGCCAAUAUUCAGUGUUCACGGAGGGUGGUAGAGGGAGUAUAGUGCUUUUGUAUUAUCGUUCAUCUUCUAGCUGGAUUUUCCCCUUUCUAAGUGCUGUGCUGUUCACAUCUCCAGAUGCCUUAUUCUUACUUCGUUUAAUAUGCUCUCAAGGACAGGCGGAUUGGUGUUCUACAAUAUGAUAGAGGGAGUGCAUUACAAUAUUUUUCUGUGCUUAUGGUUCUACAGUCGUUUCUACAGUCAUUUAACUUCUAUCUGGACUCAUCUUGUGCUUGUUGUUAUGCUCUUUGAUUUCCAGAUGUCUGAUCUCCACAUGGUUCUAUGGGAAAGUCGGUUCUGGUAUAUUCUGUUUGAUAGAGAGAGUAUGGUAUUUUUAAGAUGUAAUCUUGUACGUAGAUGUUCAUGUGCUUAUCACUAUACUCUUCAAAUUCGAGUGUCUUAUUGUUCGCUGGUCCUUAAUCAUCCUUCUGUGGAAGCCAGUUCUGGUUUGGUUAUUUGUACUCGAUUUCAUCAGUUGGUUUUUAGGUUUAAUUGGAUAUUGUGUUAGGCCUCAACGUGUGACAGGAUUUACAAAACAAAUUUUGGUUCUGUUGAAGGUGGAGCUUAAGAUGGGGCUCUCUUGGUCUGGCUGUUGGACACAAAUCAAUCUUCGAUGCUGGAGUUGACAGUGUAGGGGGCAGAGGGAGUAUAGUACUUCUCUACAUUGUCAUCUUCUUACUUGACAUUCUUUUUGCUAUGUUUUGCACUUCCAGUUUCCAGAUGCCAAAUAUUUGGUUUCUUCAGUUUUCAAGAGAAGGCAGUUCUGGGCUUUUACAGUGCCAGAAGGAGUAUACCCUACAACAAUUUGAUUAUGGUAAACAUGGAGAUUUAGGUGGGCUAUCUUUGUCUGGUUGUUGGACAGAGACCAUUCUUUGAGACUGGCGUCACUUAUUUCACUUGUGAGCUUGGGGUGAGAUAUCUCACUGAUUUACCUCAAUUCAAGCUUCCUUGUUGUAAAUCCUUUUUCUGCGGCUUAUGUGUUCAAAGCUCACAAAAUACCAUUUGACUAACUAGCAUCGUCACAUUAAUUGUUCAAUAUUCCUUAUAUAGGCCAAGGGACAAAUUGUAUUUGAACAAAAUUUUCUUGAAGUUUCCUACUGAUAUGGUAGAUGAAUGCAUUUAUUUCAUAUAAGAAAAGUGCAGUCUUGCACGGAGGAGGUAGAUAUGGGGGUUGGUUGUUAUAUGAAUCUUGGUUAUAGAUGAAAUGCGCAACUAGUUGGUCUACUGAAAUACGCAGCUAGUUUGUCUACUGAAUACUAACUUCUUAGUCCAUUGAAUCUAUACGUUUGCAUUACGUAAUAUUUAUGGAUAGGUAGCGUCGUGUAACUCUGCCUGUGUUCUGGGUUCCCUGCCACAGCCGGUCCCAAGCCCGGGAAAAGAGGAGGGGCGACAAAAUAAUGUAGUACUCCAUGAGUUCCUUUAACUGAUUAUGAUUUUCUCUUCUAGACAUUUACUAAAUUAUAGUACUCCAUGUAGUACUACUAUUGCAUUACAGAAGCCAUUACGGAGGUAGUACAUUUUUCAUGUACUGCCUCCGUUUCAAAAUGUCCUGUCUCCGUUUUAAGUUAUUUGAGUUGUAUAUCAUUUUUAGUCGUUCCAAGAUAGCCAAAAACAAAAUGUUUUAUCUUACUUAUUUGUUACGUUCUUAUUUUUCUUUUAUUUUCAUAUCACUCACUAAAUAUAACUUUUUAAAAUCUCGUGCUAAAAAAAUAUCUAUGGAGGAGUAGCUUUUUGGUGACUGAUAUAUCGUUUACUCUAGGAUUUACUCUAUUGUAUACUUACUUAGUAUACCAUUCUAAAUUAAAAUCUAAUUACAAAUAGUAACCUAUAUCUGAUGCUGGCCGUUAUGGAGGGUUGCAGAGGUAGUAUAUUAUUUAUCUUUGUUAGUAUUCGACUCCUUGAGGAUACUUUUGGUUAUUAAGUUGAAGUUAAUGACGGUAAUGUAGAGUGUUAUAUUUGUUUUACUCUUUAUUGUCGAAUAUCAACAUAGAAUAACUUACAAUUAUCUAUCAGCUAUCAAACAUGACUAUUACCCCUCUGUGUUAUGAGACAAACUAUUUAAUGAUAAUUUAGUUUUAUUGAAUAUUCAGACAUGAACAAACACAAGUAUAUUUCCCUAUGUCUCAG